GAAAUCAGGAUCUCUGCAAAGCAGGGCACAUAAACUUCUCUACAGUGUUGCCAAAUAAGUCAGCCACUAGACUCAACACAGUGUAUCUUGACCUUCUUUCUAAAUAUAUAUCUGAAGUAUGAGCUAGAGUUUUCUGUUCCCCAGUCCUACUCAGUACCUCACCAACUCCUAACUGCUUCCCAACUGUCACCAACCAACUGACUCUUAGUCAAACCCUCCUCCCAACAUUCCAUGUGCGGUUGCUAUGGCAACUCUUGGCCCCCCCCCUCUCCCCAGCACUUUGCAUGUGCAUUUCUUCACAGCCCCCCAAAAGGCACAACCCACAUCUUCAUAGUCAUGAAGACUAUGGGCACAGAGAUGAUUGCAGGGAUCAGUAGUGGGCCCUCUUAAUGACUCUGGGCCCUUGGCAGCUGUUCAGUGAUGCCAGCCCCUAAUGCUGGGCUUUCUUCAGUCACUUGCAACCCAAUGUGCUCUGUUGACAAGAUGUUUGCCACUGAUGUAGAUAUUUUGAAUAUUGGCCUCGUCUCUCUCCUAAAACAAAAAAGUGAUGGAAUUAAAAUUGCAGAAGCCCUGCUCCAGUUAGGAGAUAUUGGCACACGGAUGUUUCCAUUCACGCAUCCCUAGCUUGAAAGGGAAUUUGCUCAUGCAAAUGAGUACUGCAGAGUGCAGACAUGGUUACCUAGCUCAGACUAGCAACUGUGUCUGAAUGCAUGUAGCCUUAUCAACAAACAUCUGUUUGAGAAAGGAACCCCCUCUGCUCCCCUUUUCCUACUAGAACCCAGGAUUCCAGGUCACUUUUCUUUUUAAAGGCUCUAAUACAGCAUGGUCGGUGUAAAAUGCAGCUGAGGUUGCUGUCUAGUAAAGUCUGCUUUUAAGGCUGUCAAAAGGGUUUAUUAGAUCUGCAUUUAAUUGAAUGACCAGGAGCUUUCCCAGACAGCAGGAUUUACUGUGAGACCAUCUCUACCUCUUUGAUGAAUUCUCGACACAUACACACAUGCCAGAAAAUAUGUAGAUGAGCACCACUGCAUGCUGAGAUGGGGUAACUUCCUUGAGAGAGAGAAAAAUUGCCACUAUUCCUUCUGGUAUCUGCUGCUCAAUGCUGAUCUCCCACCAAAGACCAUUGCAGCUGGGAAUGCUGAGAACUGCAGUCAACAUCUGGGAAUCCUUGUUAUAGGGAACACUAUACAUACUGAGAGAUUGGGGUACAGCGAUGGCAGCAACAGGCAAAUUCCAGACAGCCACCAUGUCAACGGUGGCUGUGUUUUGCUCCAUAUUAUCUAAAAGCUGAAAGAAAGCAUUAAUUACAUCCUGUCAGGUUCUGGGGAGAAGAAUUCAAUAUUAUCUUUUACUGUGACUAAGAAAUAAACCCAGACUUGGUUCCAAGAGCCAGAAGCAGCAGCAGCAGCAGCCGCCCCUGACUUUGACAUGCCGUGGAAGAUAAUAACUUUCAUCACAUACUAAUUGUCUUGUUAACAUGGAUUGUGCAGCCAGCCAAAUAAAUGUCAUUCAGAUUUAUUUUUUUAUGAGGAAGAGCAUAAAUCUUGCAGUCGGAAGUGCAUCAAGUUUUUUCUCUUUGUUUUUUCAACCUUGUCUACAUUUUCAGUCUAAAAUAAAAUUUGCAUUUUUAAUCCAGACAA